rnacentral:lncRNA from 1 species
UUACCCUCACGCUAGACACAGCAACACCCAAUCAACUAAGCAAAAACAGGCAGAUACUCCAGUUGACAACACUUAGAACUGUGAAAGAUAACCUCAAGCGCAGUUGCAGCACGGGCUUUAGCAUCAUCCAUGUUCGAGGCACUCAAAUUGACUGCUGUCUGCUGACCAUAAGAUCUGUAUUUGUCCUUAGCUUAACUUGCACAGUAUGUGAUCAUUCUGGUCUCUAGCUUCCUUCUUACUCCAUGUCUACAUGGCUCACAUAUUUUGGGAACAUUUAA